CUCUGCUGUCAUUCUGUCUGGGCUGACUUAAUGGCUUCCACACUGGGAAGCCGAACACACAACUAUGUGGCAUGUAUGUGUGUGCACAAACAUAACACGCCUGUAUUCCUGCUUUAAUUUGUUAUAGGCAUUUCGUGACACGCUUAGUGGCAGACAGCUAACCCGCCCCCCUCUUCAGAAAGCAGACACUCCUCCCUUGUACCCACACCAAUGUGCGUUUUGAUGUAAAAAAGAUCUUUUCCCGCCUUUUAAUUCUACAUUACUCAUGUAAUUUGAUGGGCAUGUGUGAAUGCACGUGAAAGUAAUAAAGCACAGGUUGAAGGUUAAUGUCUGUGCUGUUAUAUCCACAGUGAGAAUCUGUGACAUACUUGUGUUAAGCUUAUAUCGGUUUGUGAAGAUUAUAGGGUAAAGAUGAAGCUGCGCUGCCUUUAAAUGCUUUGAUUUUACCAUCAUACACAAUUUCACUGCAUAUCAAACCCUCUCAAACUGAGUGAGUGCACUGUGCACAGAUCAAAACAUGUAAAAGAUCCCAUUACAGUAAUCUGACUGUUGUGUAUUCUUGUGUGUACUCUGCUUAUUUACCCGGCCUUCUCUCUGGUCCUCUGUCUCUCCAGGUCCUCCAGAUGCUCCCAGUGUAGUUUCCCUGUCUGUCAGCAGCAGCACCAGUCUAAAAGUUGACUUCCAGGAACCUCUUUGUGUCAACUCUGCUGUGGUUACCAAAUACAAAGUGAGCUGGAGUGGUAAUCCUUCGUUUAGUCCUCUGCUGGGUGAGAUGAUAGUGGAUGAUGCCACUCAACUCGAGUGCAACAUUACUGGACUAACAUCUGGGACCUAUUACUACGUGCAGGUGUCAGCGUACAACAUGAAGGGCUGGGGACCUUGGAAAAUUUCCACACCGGCCUGUGCUGCACCUUCCAGUAAGUUGUCUAUUUUCUUUGUAUAAAUAUGAGUAUUUUAAAGCCUGUGUCUAAAUUUUACACAAAGCUAAACAUAAAGCUCCAAAUUUAGGGUGAUUUCAAAACGUGCCCCUUGCUCUACAAGGUUUUGGCUCACCUCACUAAAUUAAUAACUGUGGUGUGUGUGUGUAUGUUUGUCUUGCAUAAGUGAUUUGUUUCGUAGUCUUACACAUUAAAUGACCCGGGCAUCGCCUAAUUUUGUUAAUUGAAUUUGUCACGCUGGUGUCAUUCCAAUUUUGCUGUGCCAUCACUAGAGGGAUGACAGCUGGACUCUCCUCCAGCUCUGCCAGGGCGGCUGGGCGGGUUGUGGGACCCUCACUGCGGAUGUUAGUGAGUGUAACAGUAGCCUCAGGAUGCUGCUUGGGCCCAGCUGCCAGGAGAAGCCACCCGGGUUCAGCCAAGAAAUUAACCGUGGAGUCAUGUGCAACAGCUGAGCUGUUGACCGCUGCAGCUCUGACCCUCUUUCUCCCUUUCCUUCAGUCCAUCUGUCUCUUUCUUUAGUUUGUGUGAAAUUUUUACGUUUCCAUGUUUUUGAGAUUUGUGAAAGGACUCUUCUGACUGUUGCAGAUGCAAAAUGCACCUUUUGUAAGAGCGUGAGCAUAGGUAGCAUUGCUGUGGGCACACUGGCACGCUCGUGGCACAUCUGGAGAACACAUGAACAUGUUUGUCCUCAUCAGCACACAGUGUUUUUCAGCAAGUUUGUGAAACUAGGCUUCCCCCUCUCCUUUUUUUUUCUACUGUCCCACCGCUCUACCUCCCCUCUCCCAGAGCUAAUUUCGAUGUUGCGUGUUUGUGUUUUCCAUUUGGGCCUACCACUGGAAAUAUUUGCAUGUCUGUGCUGUAGCGCGCGGCGCGGCCCCAACAGUGGGGGCCUUAUACCGGGCCGUGGACGCCCAUUAA